rnacentral:rRNA from 1 species
CCCUUAGAUGUUCUGGGCCGCACGCGCGCUACACUGAUGAAUGCAACGAGCUCUACCCUUGACCGAAAGGCCCGGGUAAACUUGUGAAACUUCAUCGUGAUGGGGAUAGAUUAUUGCAAUUAUUAAUCUUCAACGAGGAAUUCCUAGUAAGCGUGAGUCAUCAGCUCGCGUUGAUUACGUCCCUGCCCUUUGUACACACCGCCCGUCGCUACUACCGAUUGAAUGGCUUAGUGAGGUCUUGGGAUUGGCUUCGAGGAACCGGCAACGGUACCUUGUUGCUGAGAACUUGAUCAAACUUGGUCAUUUAGAGGAAGUAAAAGUCGUAACA